GUAGGGGGCAAGCGUUAUCCGGAUUUACUGGGUGUAAAGGGAGCGUAGACGGCGAUGCAAGUCUGAAGUGAAAGCCCGGGGCUCAACCCCGGGACUGCUUUGGAAACUGCCUUGCUAGAGUGCUGGAGAGGUAAGUGGAAUUCCUAGUGUAGCGGUGAAAUGCGUAGAUAUUAGGAGGAACACCAGUGGCGAAGGCGGCUUACUGGACAGUAACUGACGUUGAGGCUCGAAAGCGUGGGGAGCAAACAGGAUUAGAUACCCUGGUAGUCCACGCGGUAAACGAUGAAUGCUAGGUGUUGGGGAGCAAAGCUCUUCGGUGCCGUCGCAAACGCAAUAAGCAUUCCACCUGGGGAGU
rnacentral:rRNA from 1 species